UACGUAGGGUGCAAGCGUUGUCCGGAAUUAUUGGGCGUAAAGAGCUCGUAGGCGGUCUGUUGCGUCGGCUGUGAAAACCCGGGGCUCAACCCCGGGCCUGCAGCCGAUACGGGCAGACUAGAGUUCGGCAGGGGAGACUGGGAUUCCUGGUGUAGCGGUGAAAUGCGCAGAUAUCAGGAGGAACACCGGUGGCGAAGGCGGUUCUCUGGGCAGUACCUGACGCUGAGGAGCGAAAGUGUGGGGAGCGAACAGG
rnacentral:rRNA from 1 species